CCGUUUGCUCCCACGCUUUCGCACCUCAGCGUCAGUUUCAGUCCAGAAAGCCGCCUUCGCCACUGAUGUUCCUCCGGAUAUCUACGCAUUUCACCGCUACACCCGGAAUUCCGCUUUCCUCUACCAAACUCUAGCCGAGCAGUCUCGAAUGCAAUUCCCAGGUUAAGCCCAGGGCUUUCACAUCCGACUUGCUCAACCGCCUACGCGCGCUUUACGCCCAGUAAUUCCGAUUAACGCUCGCACCCUCCGUAUUACCGCGGCUGCUGGCACGGAGUUAGCCGGUGCUUCUUCUGCAGGUAACGUCAAGACUUAGAGGUAUUAGCCCUAAGCUUUUCUUCCCUGCUGAAAGUGCUUUACAACCCGCAGGCCUUCUUCACACACGCGGCAUUGCUGGAUCAGGCUUUCGCCCAUUGUCCAAUAUUCCCCACUGCUGCCUCCCGUAGGAGUCUGGGCCGUGUCUCAGUCCCAGUGUGGCUGAUCGUCCUCUCAGACCAGCUACCGAUCGUGGCCUUGGUAGGCUUUUACCCUACCAACUAGCUAAUCAGACGUAGGCUCAUCCAAUAGUGCAAGGUCUUACGAUC
rnacentral:rRNA from 1 species